UUUUUGAAUUUCCCCGUAAAACUGUGUUAUAAUGAAAUUGUCAGCUUGUCUGACUAUGGUGAUAAACGCGCUGUGGAAUAGGCGUUUGCGGACCCGGGGGCAGUGCCCGGCGGCUCCACCAUAACGAUACAAAUUUUCUAGGACGGAUAUGUAUCGUUGUGAUGGGGCCGAAACAGGAUCGACGCGCGCAGUAAAGACAGUAUUUGCUUUCACCCGGUGGAGUACCGCCGUUAUCGGUCUAAAAUCAUAAAUGCAAACGAUAAUGAUCGUCAGGUUGCUGAGCUGCGUCUCGUAGCGUAAACAACCAAGCAUUUCAAUUCCUUAUGCACUGACAUGUGUAAGGUGGGGCGCGGGGCGGGCCUAGCAACAGAACCGCCCCGUU
rnacentral:tmRNA from 1 species